CCUUGGCUCGGAUUUAGGCCAA
rnacentral:siRNA from 1 species